AACGCGGAAAGUACUAAGUCUCAAAUUAUGUGAGCGGGGAGCCAAAUUUUCACUCCCUCCCAACACUUGGUCAGAUUUCCCACUCAUAUUGACUAGGUUUUCCCCACACCCCGCUAAUUUCUCUCACUUCCCAGACCGCGACACCACCCCGUCCAGCAACCGACGUCCUCUUUCGCCUUCUCCGGCUCCGACCGCUCGAUCUCCUCCUCCUUGUCCGCCUCCUUCUCUCUCAUCUCUCUUCUCAAAUCCAGUGAAUCUCCCAAUUGCUGAGAUCGAGAAGCCGAAGCCGGAGCUGCAGAUCGACUCCUCUCCUUUCUCUUCCAUGGGCCUCCCCUUCUCAGCCCUUCUCUUCGACCGUCGAGGCGGCGACGGCCAUCGCUCUCAUCGACUGUAACUCGACAGCCUCGAACUCUGGGUUGCUCUCUUCCUCAAGCAGCAAAGCUGAAAAGUUUCCACAUAUUCGAUUUCUGAUUCUUCAAAGUCUGUGUCUUGGAUCCUAGAGUGCGUAGAGCUCGAAACCAGUCAUUUAAAGGGUAAUUUUGUCACAUUAGCUGCUAGCCUUUGCAGCCUUAAUCUACUCAGAAUGAAGUACCGAUCGAGGCCUUGAAGUACACUAUGAUCGAUCAUUAAUACUUGGAUUUCAGAAGAAGAUUUUCUUUUGCCAAAGUUGAUCCCGAAAGAUGGUAAUUGAUGGUGAGAGGGGUAGAGGCACCAAUUAAUCUGGACUCAUGUAAUGGUCAAAUCUCGAUCAAUCCACACGAACAAGGCUGGGUUUGUUCUUCAAUUUCAAUUUGUGUUUGCUCAUUGGUUGUCUGGCGUUUCAGUUAUUUUUAAUUUUUAUCUCUGGGCUUUUAAUUGGUAUUGUUUGCUGGCUUUUAGUGCGCUCUGUUUGUUACAAGUGAGAGUGAUAUAAUGCUAUAUAUCUUCAAACACUGGACUCAUAUCUGACAUUAUUAAACUCAGAUGAUUUGUAUAACAUAUAAUUUUGAAUCACUAACUAAAGUAGGGAAACUACCUAAAAUACCACUUCGAAAGAAUGUCGAGCAAAGGCACUUUAGAAAUUCCAAAGGCACUUUAGAAAUUCCAAAGGCACUUUAGAAUGUGUGAAUGUGCACUUCACCCGUAUGAAAAAAUAAUGUCCAGCAAACAUUCAUAACAGAUUUGGAACAUGAUUCUUUUAUUAAGGACAGUUUGAAGUGUGCACAUUUCAUACAUUAGACUUUGAAAAAAAGUAGAAACAUGCAAUGGAGAGCAGCUCUUACGGAAGCAGCAAAUUUGUCGCUGUGAUUUCCAAUUGCAUUUAUAUAAUAUUUUUUUUUUUGCUUUACUUUUCUCGCAUGUAUCUGUCCUUUUUUGUUUAUUAGUGGAUUUAUUCAUAAUUUACUUAUAUUUCUGAGUCGUAUUGAUAAAGAUUGGAAAACUCUGGUAGUAUAGGAUUGAAGAUGUUGAAAUAUGUUGUACGGGGCAUAUUCUAGGGUUUCAGACUCAAUGAAGAUUGAAAACCAAAAAUGAAUGAAUUUUUUGGAAAUGGAUUGAGAAUUGCAACUUACUUGUUUAUGAGUGCAAAUUCAAUUGUCUUACUCACUAAUUGACUUGCUAACAGAUUUAUCAGUUAUUACAACUUGCAGUGUAACCAUAGUUACUGACAACUAAGCCUAGUCAUGGUUAAGCGUACUAUACUGUAACUCCCCACUAAACCCCAACCUCCCCUUAGGUAGAGGCCCUUAGUAAAGACAUCGACAAGGUGCUCUGCAGUGGAAAGAUAGGAAUUCAUUUCUAUAACUCAGUUUGUGAUAUUUCUAACCUGCUUCUAAUUUCCUUGUGCUGCACUUAAGCAUAGCCUGCUUUCAUUCUGAUUAUGAGAAGCUUAGAGAUCAGGAAAUUAGAGUGGUAGAAAGGGGAGCCCUUUCAAACCUUUACCAUUUCAUCUGAAUGAAAAUUACAGUUUUUAUGACUCAUUUCCUGUGUUCAACAGGUGGUUUAAGUGUUUAACAACCUCACCUUAAGAUUUUUUUUUCUUCUCAUUUUAUGUUGUUAGUUUUAGAAAUUAGAGUUCUAAACAGUUUUGGGGCUCACUUUAAACAUUUAUAAAUAUCUGUUCAGUAUAUGUUUUGUACUGCCAUAUAAAUAUCUGUUCAGUAUAUGUUUUGUACUGCCAUAUUAGAACACGCAGAUAUAAUUGGUUCUCUCUCUCUCUCUCUCUCUCUCUCUCUCUCUCUCUCUAUCUCUCUCUCUACAGACACACACACACACACACACACACUCUUAAAAAAAAUAUAACCUGCUGCUGGCACAUCCACUGUGGAUGUGGAUGUUGGAAUCUAAACAAAGGGUUGCCCUAUUAUUAUUCCACGGGAGAGUGAGCCUGUGCUGUUGGGUGUUGCCAUUCUUGGUGCUGUAGCUGCAAGGAAAUAUUUUGUUUUGCAUGAUGCCAACAAGGCCCUGAAUGCUUCGGGGAAGGUGCGGGUUUGGUCAAGAAAAAAGGCAUCAAAGGAUUAUUUGUACAAAGUAAAGAAUGGGCGGCAAAGAGUCGGAACUCAUAUACCCAAGAGCAACUUGAUGAGGUGCGCAUUGAAGUGGCUGACUACUUGCAGAUUUUGCUAUAGCUAGAUCUUGACAAGCAAUAUGAUUUUGAGUAAGGCUAGAUUUUGCUGACCAUUUUGUAGUAGAUGUAGUGAUAUCAGGAUGAAUUGUGAACAAAUUAUGCUGCAUGUAGUUAUUGCAGUAGUGGUAUCUUCUACACUAGCCUUAAAGUAGGUUAGAGUUUAUUGUGCAAAACUUUUGAAACUACCUCAAGCUCUGAUUAUGUAUAGAAAUUAAUACAAUUCCCUAAUAUUUAAAGUACAUUUGAAUUUCAUGUUA